rnacentral:rRNA from 1 species
UACGAAGGGGGCGAGCGUUGUUCGGAUUUACUGGGCGUAAAGGGCGCGCAGGCGGCUCAUUUUGUCAGGCGUGAAAGCCCCGGGCUUAACCUGGGAACUGCGUUUGAUACGGAUGGGCUAGAGUUCGGGAGAGGAGAGUGGAAUUCCCAGUGUGAGAGGUGGAAAUUCGUAGAUAUUGGGAAGAACACCGGUGGCGAAGGCGGCUCUCUGGACCGAUACUGACGCUGAGGCGCGAAAGCGUGGGGAGCAAACAGG